UUGAUUAUUGACGCCUUAGGUUGAAAACUUUGGUGGAAACCUUGUUUGUUUAAUCUACGUGGAACCUGCAGUCAUUAGAAAAAUUCCAAGUGAUCAACUUCAAGAUAAUGAUGGGAAUUGUUAAGGGAUUGGAAAGGUUCAGAGGCAUUGAGGAAGGGAAAAUCAUUGGAGAAGUAGUUUGCUUGACUUCGGUUCUUCGGUGGAGCGAGUGUACCAGCGAAUUUGACUCGCCCUCAGCUCUAGCCAGUCUCAGCAUAUCAGGUUUAAGGGUGAGCUAUUUAUUCGCGC